rnacentral:lncRNA from 13 species
GAGGGAGGGAGGGAGGGAGGGCGGGAGGGCGGGAGGGAGGGAGGGGGUGAGUAGGGUGAGAGGGUGAGAGUCCAGCACACUGUUGUGUCGGAGGAAAAACAACAUCUAUCAUGAACCACUAGUUGUAGCAGGGAAGAUGACAAUAACAGGAAAACACUCUUAGAUGUGAAAAAAAGGAAAAUGCUUAGCUACAACACUCACUGAUGGAUCAUGGAAACAAUGGGACCUAAUUGGAACUGUCAUAUCUGAAGUCCCUUAAUGAAGACUGAAGAUUAAAAGGAAUGACAUGCCUAAUUAUGCUAAUUCCCCUUUGAAGGAUUGAUUGAUUGUGUGACAAGGAUAAAUAAAAAAUGCAAAUGAUAUGGCGAGGACUGGUGUGGGAGAGUUGGGGCUGAUUGUUUCAAAACGGUGGAUGGGGAAGAUUGAGAGGCAUCCAGAUCAUUGGAUCGCUAUGCUGUGUGAACACACAGUAAGUACACUGUAUUGUUGCAGGGGCUGUUUCUCAUGACGUCAUUCAGUGCUAGACUGACGGACGUUAACCCUUCCCCUUUGUGGAGAAUGUGGACCUUUAUUACUCUGGUACACUGCUCUGAGCGCUCCAUAGAGCUAUAUUAGCUUGUCAGGCAACGUCAGGGGUGACCUUUAACAACAGAAACCAUCAGUGGAUAUAAUGAACGCUACACCAGGACUGGAAACAUGACAGAAAUAAUGCUUUCCAUCUGCUGUUCUUCUCUCCAUCAGCCAGCCCUGGCCCUGAAUUCACUUCACACAAAUGUGGAAGACAUAUCUUUUAGCAGCAUGCACCAGGUGUACCAUGUAACAACUGAUGAGACAGACGCUUUUGGUGAAUUUGAAGAGACUUCAAACUGCAGGAUGUGAAAGGAAUUAUUAUGGAAAUUCAUCCAGCUAACUCAGCCUUCAGUUUGCCAUUCGUCUCCACUGUUACACCUGAACCAAUAUGGAAUGCAGGUAUUCUAAAAUACAGAUUCUUAUGAAGUAAUUGGCGAUACUGACUCUUGCAGUGAAGUUCAACAUCAUUAUAAAAAAUUGAAUAAUAGGCUGACUAUGUCUAUGACUCCCUCUCGUAUAUUGACGUUCAGACCUCUUGACUUCAUUUACCAAACCUAUAGGAUUCUGAAUUGAAUAGAUCUAAUGACACUCUAACCAUAUGAACGUUUGGGACUGAGCAUUAUAUUACUGCGGCGCUCGUUGUCUGCAGAGGCAGCCCUUUGGCAC